rnacentral:rRNA from 1 species
AGUGAACGCUGGCGGUAGGCCUAACACAUGCAAGUCGAACGGCAGCACAGUAAGAGCUUGCUCUUACGGGUGGCGAGUGGCGGACGAGUGAGGAAUACAUCGGAAUCUACUUUUUCGUGGGGGAUAACGUAGGGAAACUUACGCUAAUACCGCAUACGACCUACGGGUGAAAGCAGGGGAGCUUCGGACCUUGCGCGAUUGAAUGAGCCGAUGUCGGAUUAGUUAGUUGGCGGGGUAAAGGCCCACCAAGGCAACGAUCCGUAGCUGGUCUGAGAGGAUGAUCAGCCACACUGGAACUGAGACACGGUCCAGACUCCUACGGGAGGCAGCAGUGGGGAAUAUUGGACAAUGGGCGCAAGCCUGAUCCAGCCAUACCGCGUGGGUGAAGAAGGCCUUCGGUUUGUAAAGCCCUUUUGUUGGGAAAGAAAAUCAUCAGGUUAAUACCCCGCUGUUCUGACGGUACCCAAAGAAUAAGCACCGGCUAACUUCGUG